rnacentral:rRNA from 1 species
AUUGAACGCUGGCGGCAUGCCUUACACAUGCAAGUCGAACGGCAGCGGGGGAGAAGCUUGCUUUUCCUGCCGGCGAGUGGCGAACGGGUGAGUAAUACAUCGGAACGUGCCCUGUAGUGGGGGAUAACUAGUCGAAAGAUUAGCUAAUACCGCAUACGACCUGAGGGUGAAAGUGGGGGACCGCAAGGCCUCAUGCUAUAGGAGCGGCCGAGGUCUGAUUAGCUAGUUGGUGGGGUAAAGGCCUACCAAGGCGACGAUCAGUAGCUGGUCUGAGAGGACGGUCAGCCACACUGGGACUGAGACACGGCCCAGACUCCUACGGGAGGCAGCAGUGGGGAAUUUUGGACAAUGGGCGAAAGCCUGAUCCAGCAAUGCCGCGUGUGUGAAGAAGGCCUUCGGGUUGUAACGCACUUUUGUCCGGAAAGAAAUGGCUCUGGUUAAUACCUGGGGUCGAUGACGGUACCGGAAGAAUAAGGACCGGCUAACUACGUGCCAGCCGCCGCGGUAA